rnacentral:lncRNA from 1 species
UCACCAUUAAGACCAUUAUUUGCCCUUUCAAUUCGUAUUGCUUCAUCCAAACGCUUUAUCAAAUCAUCCUUCAGACCCUUGGUUGUCAAUUUCCGCUUCUUGAGCUCCUCUUUUAACUCUGUAACCUUCCAUUGAUCAAUUGGUCGAUUAUCGAGAAUUGGAUAUGGUGAUGACAUCUUCGUUCAACUAAAACCUCACCUUCAAUCCUGAUUUUUAAAGUAACACAAAAAAAAAAAAAAAUGGUACAAAUAUCAGCAACAACCAAAAAAAAAAAAAAAAAAAAGGAAAAGGAAACCACACAAAAACAAGGAAAAUAACUUCAGUUAAUACAUAAACAAGAAAAUGCAGCUACCAAGUACCAAACAAGAAGCAAUAACUUUCAAAAAAUGCAAAGAUGCAGAUAUUUCCACUUAACUAUUUAAGGAAGCUAACAUACACAUAAAGGUUUGAAAAUAAAAUAGAAGAAAAUUUUGAAAUCUCAAGUUCACUAUUUGGCCAAUUUCCCCAAUAAAAAUGAAAGUCUCUAGGUCUCGACAAUUUCUGCAUACCAUAAGCUUCUUGCUAAAUAAACUGAAAAAUUGUUCUAUACUCAAGGCAUUACAAUAAAAGUUAAAUUUUCCUCUAUAAAAAAUAAUACUUCCGUCAAAAAAUGACAAGAAAAAUACAAAUUACUAAUUCCAUGCAAAUAAACUAAAAAUAAUGACCAACACAUUAUACUAAACAAUCAUAGUAAAUUAACUCGGAUGCAUGAACUUAGCAAAGAGCAAAGUGCAAACAAAGAGACCAUAAUCUACCAACAUGUUUGAUAAAAAAAAAUAUCCAUCAAGAAAUACUUGUCAUGCAGAGAAAAAGAAAAACAUUUGAAGGUAAUACCUGAUAAUAAAUUCUAUAGAGACUCUAUGUCACAAUUCAUCGAGAAAACUAAAUGAUAAGCUUAUAAUUAAUGCGGAAAAAGAAAAAAAACUAGAUACGAAAUCCUGAAUUCAAAACUUUGGCAAAGCCCCAAAUCCAACAAAACAGAUAAACUAGAAACAAAGGCCAUACCUUUGAGGCAGAAAAUAACACAAUUUCUUAUACAAAGAAUCCACAAAAGCAAAAAAAAAAAAAAAAACCAAAACCCUAGUUACGAAAAUGCAUUACACAUUCACACGUCACAAAACGAAAAGAUUUAAAUAACAAGACUCACAGGAAUGAACGCUUGCUUGAUAGCCUUGAGGAGAGAAUCAAAAGGCCCACAAAAAAGGGAGUGGACAAAUUGAAAACCCUAAAUUUACAACACAAAACCCAC